rnacentral:rRNA from 1 species
UACGGAGGGUGCGAGCGUUGUUCGGAUUCAUUGGGCGUAAAGGGUGCGUAGGCGGCGCGGUAAGUCGGGUGUGAAAUCUCGGGGCUUAACUCCGAAACUGCAUUCGAUACUACCGUGCUUGAGGACUGGAGAGGAGACUGGAAUUUACGGUGUAGCGGUGAAAUGCGUAGAUAUCGUAAGGAAGACCAGUGGCGAAGGCGGGUCUCUGGACAGUUCCUGACGCUGAGGCACGAAGGCCAGGGGAGCAAACGGG